GCCAGACAGGGAAACUGCGUACGGCUCAUUACACCAGCCUUAAUUUACUUGACCUUGACAACCUACUUGGAUAACUGUGGUAAUUCUAGAGCUAAUACAUGCACCAAAGCUCCGAUCCCUUGCGGAGAGGAGCGCAUUUGUUCGCCACAAAACCAAGCGCCCUCACGGGCGUUCAGUGUUGACUCAGAAUAACUAAGCUGAUCGCACGGUCUUGCACCGGCGACGUGUCUUUCAAGUGUCUGCCUUAUCAACUUUCGAUGGUAGUGUACCUGACUACCAUGGUGAUGACGGGUAACGGAGGAUCAGGGUUCGACUCCGGAGAAGGGGCCUGAGAAAUGGCCACUACGUCUAAGGAUGGCAGCAGGCGCGCAAAUUACCCACUCUCAACGCGAGGAGGUAGUGACGAGAAAUAACGAGACCGUUCUCACAAGAGGCCGGUCAUCGGAAUGGGUACAACACAAACCCUUUAACGAGUAUCUAUGAGAGGGCAAGUCUGGUGCCAGCAGCCGCGGUAAUUCCAGCUCUCAAAAUGCAUAGAAUUAUUGCUGCGGUUAAAAAGCUCGUAGUUGGAUCUGUGCUGGUCGCCCGGUCCACCCUCUGCGGUGCGCACUGGUGCGGCUGGCUUUCCUGUCCGCUUCCUCACCGGCGUUGGCCUUCAUCGGCAGGCGUCGGCGGGCGGACGAGUUUACUUUGAACAAAUCAGAGUGCUUCACACAGGCGUUUCGCUUGAAUGUUCGUGCAUGGAAUAAUAGAAGAGGAUUUCGGUCCGAUUUUAUUGGUUU
rnacentral:rRNA from 1 species